AUUCUGGCCGUAACAAAGCACACUAAAAUAUUAAAAGUUAUAAUCUCUAAAUUUAAAGGAUUUGGCGGUAAUUUAGUCCAGUUAGAGGAACCUGUUUUAUAAACGAUACACCACGCAAAAUCUUACCUAUUUUCAGAGUUUGUAUACCGUCAUUAUUAGAUAACUUUUAAAAAAUAAGUUAUUACAAUAAAACCAAUUUAAUAUAUUAGAUCAAGGUGCAGCUAAUAAAUAGGAACUUAAUGGGUUACAAUAAAACUUAUUUACACGAAUAAAUUCUUUAAAAAGUCUAUUGAAGGAGGAUUUAAUAGUAAGAUUAGUUCAAUAAGCUAAUUUGAUAGAGGACCUAAAUUGUGUACAUAUCGCCCGUCACUUUCAUUACCAAAUGAAAUAAGUCGUAACAUAG
rnacentral:rRNA from 1 species